GUCGAGAUAGCUCAGUUGGAAAAGCGCCAGGUUGAGAGGUUUCCCACCGACUAUAGAGGUCUGGCGGAGGAGUGUUCGAGUCGCUCUCUUGGCA
rfam:Trametes pubescens strain FBCC735 TRAPTBscaffold_239, whole genome shotgun sequence.